rnacentral:rRNA from 1 species
GACGAACGCUGGCGGCGUGCCUAACACAUGCAAGUCGAGCGGGGUGGAGGCGAGAGGUAACUCAAGCUUCUACCUAGCGGCGGACGGGUGAGUAACGCGUGGGCAACCUGCCUCAAGGAUCGGGAUAACAGCUCGAAAGGGCUGCUAAUACCGGAUAUGCCUAUGGCCUCGCAUGGGGCUGUGGGCAAAGGGGAAACCCGCCUUGAGAUGGGCCCGCGUCCCAUCAGCUAGUUGGUGAGGUGAAGGCUCACCAAGGCGACGACGGGUAGCCGGCCUGAGAGGGUGACCGGCCACACUGGGACUGAGACACGGCCCAGACUCCUACGGGGGGCAGCAGUGGGGGAUCUUGCACAAUGGGCGAAAGCCUGAUGCAGCGACGCCGCGUGAGCGAAGAAGGCCUUCGGGUUGUAAAGCUCUGUCUGGAGGGACGAAGAAAGUGACGGUACCUCCGGAGGAAGCCACGGCUAACUACGUG